AGCACUGCUUAUAGUUGCCAUACUCGCCUUUGAUUAUGUCAUAUGCCUGAGAAAGAGUUUCCAAAUUGUGCAGGCAGCGCUAGACGAAUCUUUAUAUGAACUUGAUGGGAAGCUGGUAUAAGUUUUGACAUGACUUUAUGCCUCUUUCAGUAAGAUGGUUAAUUCUUCCAAUUUUUUGAUCUGGGGGGGAAUAUGAACCUUCGGUGGCAGAUUCAUACAAACUGUCACCCAGAUUCUUGAGCUAUUUUCUUUUCCCUUCUAGGUACAGGAGGCAAUCUUUUGACUCGAGAAGCUUCAAAUGGGCACACUGCAGGGUCGGUUAGAUGCGGAAUUUCUUUUGGCUCAUAUGUGCUCUGUCAAGUUCAAAGAGCAAAUAGUCAUCCUAGCCACUCUUUUAAGACGAUCCGAGGUUCUUUUUGAUUUAUUUCAGCAUGAUAUGCAGUUGUGGAAAGCUUAUAGCGUGUGACUCUGGGGGUACAUACGUCUCUCAAAGAUUGGCUUGUUUACGGUGGCUAUUCAUUUGUGUGCCUCACUUUCCUUUCUUGAUGUACUCCUUGUCCAGUCACUCCCGGCAUUUGCUGAAUAUCUAGAUUUGCUUGAAGCCUUGCAAGAGAAACUUUCUUCUACCAUAAGUUUGGAAGAGAAAUGAGGCAGAGGAUUAGAUUCUCUGAACCCUAUUGGUUCAGCUUGACAGCGGAUUGACUGCAAAACGAUGCAACUCUUCUCAACAAGACAUCUUCUCGGGGGAGUUAAAGAUUCCAUAUGAAUCACGUACAAAUGAACGAGCAGUCAUUAUGUUCUGUUGAGCAUGGGAAAGAGCAGACCGGGAAAUCAUGUCAUGAGAGUGUGUAGGAUACAAUUAUUCAUCAAACCAUAUAUCUCUUGUCUGAGAUUAAAGUCACACAUUUAAGUAUUUCUUUUGUAGAUAGGUCAUUUCUAUAGUUUACAAGUAGUAGUUCUUUCUCUCACAAUCUGUAUUAUUUCCCUCUCAAUGUGGACCAUUGAAGUAUGUUGUUCAAAUAAUCCUCUCAUAUGGCUUUGUGCAGAUGGUAUUGUGUUGAAAUAUGGUUCUGUAGUUGUAGGACAAG